GCCGGGCGUAAUGGCUCACGCCUGUAAUCCAAGCAUUUUGGAGGCCAAGGCGGAUGGAUCACCUGAGGUCAGGAGUUCAAGACCAGCCUGACCAACAUGGUGAAACCCUGUCUUUA
ensembl:misc_RNA Metazoa_SRP Metazoan signal recognition particle RNA